rnacentral:rRNA from 1 species
UACGUAGGGUGCAAGCGUUAAUCGGAAUUACUGGGCGUAAAGCGUGCGCAGGCGGUUGGUUAAGUCAGAUGUGAAAUCCCCGGGCUCAACCUGGGAACUGCAUUUGUGACUGGCCAGCUAGAGUAUGGCAGAGGGGGGUGGAAUUCCACGUGUAGCAGUGAAAUGCGUAGAGAUGUGGAGGAACACCGAUGGCGAAGGCAGCCCCCUGGGCCAAUACUGACGCUCAUGCACGAAAGCGUGGGGAGCAAACAGG